rnacentral:lncRNA from 1 species
AGACAUUGAUAUGGAGGCGUUGAUCGGAGGAACUGGUCUGUCACUUCUAUACCUUGAUAUGCUGCAGAUGUUUUCCUAUUACAGUAUAUAGCUUUGGGAAGAAAAUUUCCUUAAAUUAAGAAAUAUAGUUAUACACAAAAAUAGAAAAACAACUGUAUAUAGGUAAAUUAUUGAAAAUUGUCUGUGGAGGAGACCCGGGUUUAAUCCUUGGUCUGAGGUCUGACCUCUAAACUCAAGGAGUCAAGGUCGUAAAAUAAUUGACUGAGUAGAAAAGUGCUACCUUCACAUUGACAUUAAACCUCGGAUACCCCUAUCAAUUGGGCAAUAUAGCCUGUCGGGAAAUCCGCUCAUCAAUGAGUGAGAAGUUCAAUAACCAACACUCAAAUAACUGGUUGAGAGUCAGAGACCAUGGUUGAGACUACCUUUUCCUCGGUUCGCAUAUCUCUUAUGAUAAAUUCCAUGUUGAAUUAUGUUGCGCUUUAUAGUAAGCCCCCAACUCGAUCGAUGUUAAACUUGUGUCAUGGUAAAUUACCAUUUGUUUUAUCAAUGUGUAUUAACUUUGCAAUAUAGCCUUAUCGCCAAGAUCAGUGUAACUAGCAGGUGAUGAAGUGGAAAGAUGCUAACUUUUGGGGGGUGGGAGGUGUGGUCUGGGGGACCCCAGUACUCUGAGCCUUCACGGCUUGAUUUCCUGCAAUUUUAGACCCACCUUUCCCAUGGAAAUAUUAGAACGCUCUUCCUAGCUAAGUUAUAUUCUUCCUGUUUUUACUUAUGUUUUAAACAGAAAGGACCUUCGCUGGGCCGGGCAACAUAGUGGUUAAAAGAAGCCCUGCAUGGUUAAAAGAAGCCUGCCUAAAAAAAACGCAACCUUGGAAUUUCCCAAGAAAUCAGGACAAAAGAUUUUAGGUGCCCGGG